UACCCGUUGAUCCUGCGGGAGAUUGCGGCUAUCUGGGUUCGACUAAGCCAUGCAAGUCAAGGGGGAGCAAUCCACCGGCAUAAGGCUCAGUAACACGUCGAUAAUCUGCCCUUAGGUCUGGGAAAACCGUGGGAAACUGCGGCUAAGCCCGGAUAGAGGAAUAUGUCUGGAAUGGCUUUUCCUUUAAAAGCAAUGCCUAAGGAUGAGUCGGCGGCGGAUUAGGUAGUUGGUGAGGUAAAGGCUCACCAAGCCGAAGAUCCGUAGGGGCUCUGAGAGGAGUAGCCCCGAGAAGGGCACUGAGAUACUGGCCCUAGCCCUACGGGGUGCAGCAGGCGCGGAAACUUUACAAUGCACGCAAGUGUGAUAAGGGAACCCAGAGUGCUUAGGCUUAGCCUAGGCUUUUGCAAAGAGCAAAUAUCUUUGCGAAUAAGUGGUGGGCAAGACUGGUGCCAGCCGCCGCGGUAACACCAGCGCCACGAGUUGCAAUCCCAUUUAUUUGGCCUAAAGCGUCCGUAGCUCGUCAGGUAAAUCUCUUGUGAAAUCGUUGGGCUUAACCUAACGGCGUGCAGGGGACACUGCCUGGCUAGGGACCGGGAGGAGUCAGAGGUAUUCAGGGGGGAACGGUAAAAUGUUAUAAUCCCCUGCAGACCACCUGUGGCGAAGGCGUCUGACUAGAACGGGUCCGACAGUCAGGGACGAAAGCUGGAGGAGCAAACCGGAUUAGAUACCCGAGUAGUUCCAGCUGUAAACGCUGCGAGCUAGGUGUUGCACAUUCUUCGUGAUUGUGCAGUGUCGAAGCGAAGGUGUUAAGCUCGCCGCCUGGGAAGUAUGGUCGCAAGACUGAAACUUAAAGGAAUUGGCGGGGG
rnacentral:rRNA from 1 species